UAGCAAUCUUCUCAGAGAUACCUAUAGGCAUUAUGUAUCAUUUCUCAUUCUAAAUUAACUUCAUUAAUUUUUUUGACACAGGAAAGUAUUAUAAAAACAAGGCUACAGGGGUGGCCCCAGCUUUCUUAUACAAAUCUUUUCUGCAUGGUCAUCUCAGUCUGUGCUUUUUCACACUGCACAUCCUCCAUGCUUCGGUCUGGGCUGAGCCACCUGGCCAGGCUUGAUGGGAAUUGUCUUGGAGGAAAUGGGCUACUAGGCUAGCAUGAACUUUGCUUCUUAUGUGAAGUGAUGGGGUUGGGGUAACAGGUUGUGGUAAUAGGGUGACCGGGAGUCCAGACAUGGCUGUUACCAGCUCCUCUUCUCUACAUCUUUCUACAGAUUUCACAAAGAGACAGUCCCACUCUAUCGCCAGGGUAGAGUGCAGUGGUGCAAUCAUGGCCCUCUGCAGCCUCCAACUCCUGGGCUCAAGCUAUUGUCCUAUCACAGCCUCUCAAGUAGCUUGGACUGCAGCUGAGAUUCCCAGCAAGCAGUAGGCUCCCAUCCUGGACUCCAAGGAGACAACUCUUCCCUGCACCUUCACCUGGAAAGCUGUUGCCCUUUCUUCCCAGAUCACGAUCACAAGACUCCAAAUUACCGAGUGGGGUCCAACAAGGUGGGACUGUAAGGAACAUGUCCUGUGGACAUUACCUUCACUGUUCUCAUGAGUGGGAUGGGAAGAAAAGAGUCCUCCCCUUCCAAUUGGUGGAUUUUCUGGGCUUGGAAGGAGGAAAACAAAAACAAAAACAACCAAACAGAAAAUAACUAUUACCUGAAUUAUUAUGAAACUUCAGAGAAAACUACUUAUUUGAAGAAAAUAAAAUACGAUUUAUGUUGUUGAAUUUGCAUUGCCAGAAAGUUUCCAGUGUCCUUACUACAAUUUUUUUUUCACCAUCAAGUUUGGUCAGAAUCUCACAGCUCAGAGAAAAUUAUGGAGGAAUAAUAAGAUCUAGAGCAGUGCUUCUCGUAUCUUAUGUGUGAAGAAUCUUUUAUUAAUUUGUUUAAUUUCCAGACUGACAGUUUUGUAAAAUGCCUUAUUAGAAAAAAUUUUAAAAAUAAAGAAAUAAAAAGUCAAGCCCCAAAUAUUGUAUUUUAACACCCUAAAAUU
rnacentral:lncRNA from 1 species